CCUUACUCCAGUCAAUGCUCCAAUGUGUCACACUGGUUGUCAGAACGAUUUUCCUUCGGGCUUGCAGCAUGGAAACCGAGACCGGGACGUGGAUUAAAAUACACAGAGACUGAGACAGGAAGUCUAGCAGUGCAGAGACUGAGACACAGACUGGCAUAGAGAGACUGCAAUACACACUGACAUACAGGGAUCGAUAGACAAAAGCCUGUUACACACACAGAUUGGCGCAGAGAGCGGAGCCUGACACACAGAGAACCUGUAGAGUUUGUUUUUUGGGUGGGUGCGAUCGCUUCUGCUGCUGCUGGUGGUUUUGCAGAUAAAACACAAAUCUCCCGGAUUCAACAGUUUCUGGAAUCGAACGAGCAGGAAUGAACAGGACGGGGGAUAGACUGGUGGAAAUCCUUCAGAUGACAAUUAACUUGGUGCGCUGAAGCGAUGCUUUCUCAUCCUGAGCGAGGCGGUGUCCUCGCCCCACACAGUGUUGCCAUCUGGCGAUUCCUGAAUGUGUUUGUCAUCAAAACUUACUGAUGAAGUACAAAGGUGAUUAAGGUCACUCCAGCUUCCACCCGGGUCACAGACCGGACUGGUCAAGGCUGUCGCUGUGUGCAAUCCCUCGCUGCAAAUUUUACCAACUGCCAUGAUAAACCAGGUUCAUCAGCUUCCCAAAUCUUGUCGAUGGUGCUGUGCCUGGAAGCUUCAGGAGUGAGGGUGCAAGUGGUCGAUUUCAAUGGCUGUGAUGCUAUCUCCAGUUCAAAGG